rnacentral:misc_RNA from 1 species
UCAACCCUCGAACCUCUGUUUCCCAGCGAAGCUCAGGGUCGGCGUUGGGGCGCUACGGCGAGUCUUCGCGACCCCGUAGGCCCUGAAAUACAGUGGCGGUCCCGCCGCGGUUGCCUUCUGCGUAGUAAAAGUCUUCUUUUGCAAGCUUCGCAUUGGGUCCCGGCGGAGGCCUGCCGUCAAACCACAUUAUAACUUAAGAUGGU